GUGCUUGCUUUAGCAGCACAUAUACUAAAAUUGGAAUGAUAAGAGAAGAUUAACAUGGCCCCUGUGCAAGGAUGACACGCAAAUUUUGUGAAGCGUUCCAUAUUUUU
ensembl:snRNA U6 U6 spliceosomal RNA